rnacentral:lncRNA from 1 species
GCACCAAGGAAAAGGCCACGUCUUCCCUCAAGGAAGGCUUUAGAGUGCAGGGCUAAGCUGCAGGGACUAGUUAGUCUCUUGGGACAAGUGUGCUUCAUGGUCUCCUUGCUAAUUCUGGUCCCCUCUGCCUGCCUGACAACCACUGUAUCAGCAUUCCACCAGGGACUCCUGGUUACUUUCCUGUAUAAGGCCAGGUCUUCAGGGACUUGGGAAAGGGUCCCUCUAUGUCCUCUUAGAGUCCUAGGGAUGCUCUUGACCUGUGCUGUCACCAAGCAGCCUUCACACAGGGCAGACCUCAGUCACAGAAGCAGCCGCCGAGCCUGUUGAGACAAACACUACAAUCCCAUGGCCUUCACAAGAGGCCUGCGCUCCCUUGCAGGCAGUCAGCACCUCGUGAGGCUAAAGCUGCUGUCCCCUCAGCCAGGCCUUAAUGCUUGCAGCUUUCCUACU